rnacentral:miRNA from 1 species
CUUUUCUGGUUUUUUUGAGAGAGUGUUUUUCUAUGUAGCCCUGGUUAACCUAGAACUUGCUAUGUAGACUGGACUGCCCUUAAACUUCUAGAUCCUUCCUGCCUC